rnacentral:rRNA from 1 species
GAUGAACGCUGGCGGCGUGCCUAAUACAUGCAAGUCGAGCGAACGGACGAGAAGCUUGCUUCUCUGAUGUUAGCGGCGGACGGGUGAGUAACACGUGGAUAACCUACCUAUAAGACUGGGAUAACUUCGGGAAACCGGAGCUAAUACCGGAUGAUAUUUUGAACCGCAUGGUUCAAAAGUGAAAGACGGUCUUGCUGUCACUUAUAGAUGGAUCUGCGCUGCAUUAGCUAGUUGGUAAGGUAACGGCUUACCAAGGCAACGAUGCAUAGCCGACCUGAGAGGGUGAUCGGCCACACUGGAACUGAGACACGGUCCAGACUCCUACGGGAGGCAGCAGUAGGGAAUCUUCCGCAAUGGGCGAAAGCCUGACGGAGCAACGCGGCGUGAGUGAUGAAGGUCUUCGGAUCGUAAAACUCUGUUAUUAGGGAAGAACAUAUGUGUAAGUAACUGUGCACAUCUGGACGGUACCUAAUCAGAAAGCCACGGCUAACUACGU